UCUGUUUGAUCAUGGCUCAGAUUGAACGUUGGCGGCAGGCCUUAAACAUGCAAGUCGAGCGGAAACGAUGGGAGCUUGCUCCCAGGCGUCGAGCGGCGGACGGGUGAGUAACGCGUAGGAAUCUACCCAGUAGCGGGGGAUAGCCCGAGGAAACUCGGAUUAAUACCGCAUACGCCCUAAGGGGGAAAGGGGGGGAACUCUUCGGAGACCUCUCACUAUUGGAGGAGCCUGCGUUGGAUUAGCUAGUUGGUGGGGUAAAGGCCUACCAAGGCGACGAUCCAUAGCUGUUCUGAGAGGAAGAUCAGCCACACUGGAACUGAGACACGGUCCAGACUCCUACGGGAGGCAGCAGUUGGGAAUAUUGCACAAUGGGCGAAAGCCUGAUGCAGCCAUGCCGCGUGUGUGAAGAAGGCCCUAGGGUUGUAAAGCACUUUCAGUAGGGAGGAAUUAACCAAAUUAAUACUUUGGUGAAAUGACGUUACCUACAGAAGAAGAUCCGGCUAACUCCGUGCCAGCAGCCGCGGUAAUACGGAGGGAUCAAACGUUAAUCGGAAUUACUGGGCGUAAAGCGCGCGUAGGUGGUUUUUUAAGUGGGAUGUGAAAGCCCCGGGCUUAACCUGGGAACUGCAUUCCAAACUGGAGAACUAGAGUACGAUAGAGGGGGGUAGAAUUCAGAGUGUAGCGGUGAAAUGCGUAGAUAUUCUGAGGAAUACCGGUGGCGAAGGCGGCCCCCUGGAUUGAUACUGACACUGAGGUGCGAAAGCGUGGGGAGCAAACAGGAUUAGAUACCCUGGUAGUCCACGC
rnacentral:rRNA from 1 species